GAAUCCCGUCUUUGGCACGGAUGCACCAGGGCUUUUGUGAUGCGCUCUCGAAGAGUCGAGUUGUUUGGGAAUGCAGCUCAAAAUGGGUGGUAAAUGCCAUCUAAAGCUAAAUAUUGGCGAGAGACCGAUAGCGAACAAGUACCGUGAGGGAAAGAUGAAAAGAACUUUGGAAAGAGAGUUAAACAGUACGUGAAAUUGCUGAAAGGGAAACGCUUGAAGUCAGUCGCGUUGGCUAGAAAUCAGCCUUGCUCUUGCUUGGUGUACUUUCUGGUCGACGGGUCAGCAUCAAUUUUGACCACUGGACAAAGUCUUUGGGAAUGUGGCAUCUUAGGAUGUGUUAUAGCCCAUUGUCGCAUACAGUGGUUGGGAUUGAGGAACUCAGCACGGCUGCAAGGCCCGGGUUUCGACCACGUUCUCGUGCUUAGGAUGCUGGCAUAAUGGCUUUAAUCGACCCGUCUUGAAACACGGACCAAGGAGUCUAACAUGCCUGCGAGUGUUUGGGUGGAAAACCCAUGCGCAUAAUGAAAGUGAAAGUUGAGAUCCCCUUCAAACAGGGAGCAUUGACGCCUGGACCAGACCUUUUGUGACGGAUCCACGGUAGAGCAUGCAUGUUGGGACCCGAAAGAUGGUGAACUAUGCCUGAAUAGGGUGAAGCCAGAGGAAACUCUGGUGGAGGCUCGUAGCGAUUCUGACGUGCAAAUCGAUCGUCAAAUUUGGGUAUAGGGGCGAAAGACUAAUCGAACCAUCUAGUAGCUGGUUCCUGCC
rnacentral:rRNA from 1 species